rnacentral:rRNA from 1 species
UAAUCAUAAUAUGGGCGGCGGUGAAUCCUUUGCAGACGACUUGAAUGGGAACGGGGUACUGUAAGUGGUAGAGUAGCCUUGUUGCUACGAUCCACUGAGGUUAAGCCCUUGUUCUAAAGAUUUGU